GCAGCCGCAGCCCCUGGCGCUAACGGUCGGUAACGGCCCGCGCGCGCCGCCCGCCGGGGGCUCGCGCCAGCCACGAGGGAGCGUCCGCGGCCCGCGCGCCCGCGCGGCGGAGGAGAGGUGAGCCCCCGCCCGGGCCAGGCCCUCUGGCCGCGCCGUCCGCCCCUCUAGUCGUGUCCCCUCGUGGGCCGAACGGACGCGGCGGUGCCCCGCGCCCGACCAGACGUCCCGUGGGCUAGGGCCUGGGCCUCGGGCCGCGUCGGCGCCGGUCGAGCCUCUCCGGGUGUCGGGGUUCGGGGCGGGCGCGCGUGGGCGUGGCUCCUCUGUCCACGCCUGUUCCCUUCGUCGCCGCGGCUCUCGUCCGGGACACGGCUUUCCGGAGUAGAGCCCUUGGAGGUGUUAAGUGUGAUGCUUCCAUAAUACAUUUGGAUGCUGUCAGCUAAGUUCACUUCUGAACUAAGGGGUUCCUCCAAAUGUUGGCUGAAAUUCAUCCCAAGGCUGGUCUGCAAAGUCUGCAAUUCAUAAUGGAGCUACUGUACUGGCUAUUGGAAGGAGGAGAUUCUGAAGAUAAGGAGGAUGCCACUGGAAAUGUUGAAAUGAAAAAUAUUCAGCCGUUGGUCUUUGAAAUUUCCUGUGAUGUGUUUCAAUCUAGAUGCAAAGAACAUGGAAAAAUCAAAGUGCUCGAGUGGUUUAAAUAUGUUUUGGGUAUUCCUGUUUAUAGACUAUAAUACUUUUCCAAUUAAAAUCCUCAGUUGUCACGCAGAAGAAGGUUAAGCUGUAUUUGAUUGCCAGUUUUACUGAAAAUGCUUAGUAUUUUACAGUAUCACCAAAUAUAUUUUGUUUAGCCAAGGUAUAGGAAAAAUAAAAUAAAUUGUAUAGGUUGACUUUUUUCUAAAAUGUCUUUAUUGGAUUGAAUGAAUGUUUAUACCUGAAAAAAAAAGGUUCAAAAAAA
rnacentral:lncRNA from 1 species